rnacentral:lncRNA from 1 species
UUAGUUGUUCCAUCUACUUUUGUCAUUGAUUAUAGUUGUGUACUUGCUCUGAUAUCCCUAGUUGUAGAUCAUCUCUUGCUUUAUUUUCGCUGUUGUUGUAGACGCCUUUUAUGUGUAGAUAUAUGGCUGGUCUGGGCGCGCUACCGGGAGGGCCUCUGCCAGUCCCGGGGCGUGACAUGGCGUGUACUUUUUUUGGCGUUAGGAGUGGGAACAGUGAGCGGACUAGCUCUGAGCAGUGAGGUGUUAACAGGCUGCUAUUGCUACUGUUAUUGCCCCACCUCCAACACGGGACAUGGAAGCCUUUGCAGGUCAAUCCGCAGGCACUGGAUGCACUC